GACGAACGCUGGCGGCGUGCCUAAUACAUGCAAGUCGAACGCUUCUUUCCUCCCGAGUGCUUGCACUCAAUUGGAAAGAGGAGUGGCGGACGGGUGAGUAACACGUGGGUAACCUACCCAUCAGAGGGGGAUGACACUUGGAAACAGGUGCUAAUACCGCAUAACAGUUUAUGCCGCAUGGCAUAAGAGUGAAAGGCGCUUUCGGGUGUCGCUGAUGGAUGGACCCGCGGUGCAUUAGCUAGUUGGUGAGGUAACGGCUCACCAAGGCCACGAUGCAUAGCCGACCUGAGAGGGUGAUCGGCCACACUGGGACUGAGACACGGCCCAGACUCCUACGGGAGGCAGCAGUAGGGAAUCUUCGGCAAUGGGCGAAAGUCUGACCGAGCAACGCCGCGUGAGUGAAGAAGGUUUUCGGAUCGUAAAACUCUGUUGUUAGAGAAGAACUAGGACGUUAGUAACUGAACGUCCCCGGACGGUAUCUAACCAGAAAGCCACGGCGAACUACGU
rnacentral:rRNA from 1 species